rnacentral:rRNA from 1 species
UGGAUAGAAACACAAUUAGACAAGGAAGUGGUUCGUUGUAAUAAGUAGCGAUACCUUCAGAACCGCAUUAACGAAUUAAACACGCCGCCUAGGGAGAACGGUAGCAAGACUUAGAACUCAAAGGAAUUAAGGGGGCCCCGCACAAACAGCGGAGCAUGUGGUUUAAUUCUAUAGCGACGCGAAGAACCUUACCAGGUCUUAACAUCGCAAUAACCGGUCUAGAGAUAGGCCUUUCUCUUCGGAGACAUCGAGUGACAGGUGGUGCAUGGUUGUCGUCAGCUCGUGUCGUGANAUGUUCGGUUAAGUCCCGCAACGAGCGCAACCCUUAUCUUUAGUUGCCAGCAUUCAGUUGGGCACUCUAGAGAGACUGCCGGGGACAACUCGGAGGAAGGUGGGGAUGACGUCAAAUCAUCAUGCCCCUUAUGACCUGGGCUACACACGUGCUACAAUGGUCGGUACAACAGGCAGCGAAGGAGCGAUCCGGAGCGAAUCUCAAAAGCCGAUCCCAGUUCGGAUUGCAGGCUGCAACUCGCCUGCAUGAAGCUGGAGUUGCUAGUAAUCGCGAAUCAGAAUGUCGCGGUGAAUGCGUUCCCGGGCCUUGCACACACCGC